ACUGCACAUGGUUAGAGCUUAGAGCUGAGGCCAUUGGCUGGCCAAUGACUCACAAGUGUAAGUAGGUGGACCAUAAGACGGGCAAGUCUUUUGCUAACACCACAACGGUCUUUGGCCCAAUGAGUGGAGUUUGAUAGUAAUUCUUACUAGAGUU